rnacentral:rRNA from 1 species
UCUUUCUUGGUCAGUUAGAGGAAGUAAAAGUCGUAACAAGGUCUCCGUUGGUGAACCAGCGGAGGGAUCAUUGC